UGUAUCUCACAAUUUCUCACGUAAAAGGCCCUGAAAGCCCCCCAACCGUGGAGAUUACAAACCCCUAUGCUCCGCAGUUGAUUGCAAAUGGCGGAUCACUUACCGGAACAUGUGAUAGUUCAAAUCCUGGAGAGGUUGCCGACUAAAUCCCUAAUCCGCUUCACCUCCGUUUCAAAACGCUGGCGCUUCAUCAUACUGUCUGACCCACAUUUCGCCAAGUCCCAAUUCCAAAUCGGUUCUCACCACCAAACCCUCCGUCACAGGCUCCUCAUCUCCUCCGCCUCCGAAUCUAGAUUCAAGUCACUGGACUUGGAUGCGCCGUCGCAGUCGCCGUUGGGAGACAUUUGUUCGGUUAGGUGCCCAUUGGCGCAACAACCGGGGAGCCCUCCUAUCAGAAUACUGUGCUCCUGCAAUGGUUUGAUACUUGCAACUCUUGAGGAUCAAGAAAACAACAUGUAUAUAUGGAACCCAUCUACUCAAUUCUUCAAAAACUUACCUGACCCAGCUGAUCUUCCCUCAAAACCUCAAUGUCUAGUCUACUAUGGUUUUGGCUAUUUGUCGGCCACUGACGACUACAAAAUUAUUGCCAACCUUGAAGUCAUCCUUGGUGGUGAGGUGGAGGGCAAGGAGAUGCACAUCUUCUCAUCAAAAGCAAACAUUUGGAAAAGGACUGAAUCCCCUCUCGAUUCCGACAUUCAAUACGAGGGGACUCUUUCAAACGAGGCACUUCAUUGGUUGGACAACCUUGGCAUCUUAGCUUUUGAUCUAGCGAAGGAGGAGUUCCGAAGAUUGCCGCUGCCUAUUCUAGAUGGUGACUUUAGGGGUCUCAGGGCUUUUGGAGACUGUCUCUGUGCAUUUGAUUUUGAAAAUCUUGAUUUGUGGGUGAUGAAAGAAUACGGCGUGGCUGACUCAUGGACGAAGCUCUUUAAAUUAAAGGUUUCCAAUCAGCCUGAGAAGAUAUUUGGUUGCUGGCCAAUGUCGGUAAUGGAAACUAGUACAUUUCUGCAGAAAGGGCCUUUAUGCCGUGGUGGGGAGCUUGUGUUUGAUUUGAUAAGGAGUGUUCAUACGGAAGAGAAGCCUGAAAUGCAUGUGUUGAGCAGCGAUGCAGAUUUCAGGGAAAUGAUCGAAUAUCAAGAGACACUACUUUGGCUUGGUUGCCGAUCAAAUCCUUAAUCCGCUUCCCCUCCGUUUCAAAACGCUGGCGCUCCAUCAUAUUGUCCGACCCAAAAUUUGCCAAAUCCCAGUUCCAAAUAGCUUCUCAGCACCAAACCUUCCGUCACAGAGUCCUCAUCUCCACUGCCCAUGAAUCUGAAUUUGAAUCCCGAGACUUGGCAGCGUCGUCGUGUCGUCAUUUAACGACAAUUCUUCAGUGAGAAAGGUUAGGUGCCCGUUCAAUCCACCUGGCACUGUUGUCAAUUUCCUUUGCUCCUGCAACGGUUUGGUAUGUGUAGCUCUUACUUUUGACCAAACCAACAUUAUCUGGAACCCAUCAACUGGGUUCUUCAAAAAGCUACCUCACCCAGUUGCUGUUCCCUUGAAAGAUCAAGGUGUACUCUGUUACGGUUUUGGCUAUCUGUCGGCCACUGACGACUACAAAGUUGUCGCAAAACUUGAAGACCAUGGGGGGAAGGAAGAGCAGGCCGAGAUCUUCUCAUUGAGAGCUGACAGUUGGAAAAGGAUUCAAGACCCCCCGUUUUACAACGAUUAUGAUUAUGAUUAUGGGACUCUUUCGAAUGAGGCACUUCAUUGGAUUACAGGUGAUGAUAUUGUAGCUUUUGAUCUGGCUAAAGAGGAGUUCCGAAGAAUGCCGCUGCCUGUUGGUGACCACCAGUUUGAUGAGAAGCAUCUAGUUCAUCUGGGUUAGAGGUUGCCUGUGUGUGUUUGGUCGUGAGAAUACUGAUGAUGUUGGCUCUCCUGAUUUGUGGAUCAUGAGAGAAUAUGACGUGGCGGAGUCGUGGACGAAGCUGUUCAACUUGAAGGUUUCCAAUCUGCCUAAUGAGAGAUAUUAUCUCAGGCCUAUCUUGGUGAUGGAAACUGGUACAUUUCUGUAUAAAUGGACUUACACUUGUGGCAGGGGGGUGGAUUAUAAAUUGAUAAGGAGUGGUCAUGAGGAAGAGAAGCUUGAGACGUAUAUGUUUACCAGGGAUAGACCUGACAUGAUUGAAUAUGAAGAGAGUCUACUUUCGCUUGGAUGAAGGAUUGAUCCCAGUAUUCAAAUUAUGGUAUUGAUUGUUAUAUCUCUGGUUGGGGUAGAUCUUAGAGCGUACAUCUGCAAGAGCAAUUGGGUGGACCAAAUGAAGUCUUCUUAGAGGACCUUGUUGCAUUUCGCCAUUAUAGCAAUGAUGGUAUCUUGAUAUCUUCCCCAAGAUAUCCUUUGUUGGAGGCAAUCAGUGUCUGCUAUUCUAUGAAUAUUUGUUGUUGAUAUAUGAUCAUGAUAUAUCCUAUGAUAAUAUAACCAGUGUGUUGUUUUAUUUUAUUUCUCAAGGCUUAACUGUAUGGCUAUAAAGGCAUCACUACACUUUGGUGACUUUGCUAUGUUCAUGCUUAAGUCUGUUUGUGCUUGCUAUAGACCGCAUAAGGGAGCAAAGGCUAUUGCCUCCUUUGGAACAGGGAAAACGCACAUAACAUAAUCACCUGCUUAUGCAUCUGAUAGUGGCCUUCCUUAUCAGGCUACCACAUUUGAUUUCCAUGAUGCAAUGUACUGCAGUUUGCAUAAUGUUUUUGAUAAAUUUUUUGUUUUCAUAGUCUUUAUAGUCCAGAUUUAAAUGACCAGUCAUGUAGUAUGUCAAAAGAUGGGAUUGGCCAGUAUAAUUUCUUCUUUGUUUCUUAUUAAUUGUUUGUGAAUUGGAGUAUCUUUAAAAAAGAAACUUUUCAAUUUUCAUUAGUGAAAUCAAGUUACUAAGCGUUGGUUCUUUUGUAUUCUAUUUCUCCUCAGGACAUGCAAAUGUUCUAGGAGCCUCCGACUAUUCUACUUGAAGAUUAAGGGUCUAUUAGGCAGUAUAUUUUAUAUAGUUACGUUACGUACUAAAAUUAAUAUUAGCUCAUCAAAACUCGAUGGGGCAAGCAACUCUCAAGUUGGUUAGUCACCAGAUGCAUUUCGGUCAUCAGCUACACACCAUCAUUUCAAUUGCACUAGUAGCUUACCAACCAAGCUUGCCAAGCCAACUGCAAAUAUGGCGGAGCACAUACCAUAAGAUGUCAUGGUGAAAAUCCUGUAGUGGUUGCCGAUCAAGUCAAUCCGCUUCACCUGCGUUUCGAGACGCUGGCAGUUCAUCAUGAUUUGCCAAUUCUGAAUUCCAGAUAGCUUGUCAGUAGCAAACCCCGACUCCCAGACUCGUCACCUGCUCUAAAUCUGAAAUUGAAUACCUACACUUGGAGAUGAUUCGUCUUCUUCAAAGCUUAGCCGCCCAUACAAUCAACCGGGUCGCGUUUGGUCAGAAUACUGUGCUCAUGCAAUGGUUUGGUUCUUGCAGCUCUUGAUCUGCAAGAAGAUUGACGACAUCCUGUACCUAAACCUGGCAGCGAACACUUGGUCCGUAAGUUGAAGAAAUCUAUCUAUGGACUGAAACAAGCAUCUAGGCAAUGGUAUAAAAAGUUUGAUGCUGUGGUUACUUCUUUCGGAUUCACUGAAAAUAUUGUUGAUGAAUGUGUUUAUCUGAAAACAGUAGGCAAGCAUUUCAUUUUUCUGAUUUUAUACGUGGAUGACAUAUUGGUUGCUAGCAGUGAUCUAAAUUUAUUGAAAUCAACUAA